rnacentral:lncRNA from 14 species
GCUUGGAGUACCAGUGCUAGUGUGCCGGAUUGUUGACCAGAUGCCUAUUAACAUCUCCGUCAAGCCAAGGAAGAUAAUACACCUUUCCCUGCUUUCAUGUAUGCAACCACUGGAUGAGGUGCUCAAAGCAAAGUCCUGAGGAAUGACCUGAGUGAGGGUAAAAAGAGCUCUAACUGAGAGAAGAGGACAGAACUACUGCUGGACUUGGAGAAAUCAAGGUGUCCAUAUGUCUGCAACAGGGAAUCUGGCCAGCUCACAGAAACUGCCUCUCCUCCAAGAGCUGCAUACUGAGGCAAAUUCCCAGCUUAUUGAAAAAUAGUUUUGUUAUUUUGCCAUCUUGUUUGUUCUGCAAUUUCCCUCUUCUUUUUUUUCCUUUUUUUCUUUUUUUUUCCCCCCUUUAUUUAUUUAUUUUUAUUUUGCCUCUGGCUUU